CUCGCCGUCAGCGCGCGUGCUCCGUGCGGGAUGCUGGAUUGUAGGUGAUGAUGGCGGAAGGGGAGCGACGCUGAGUUCCAUCCGAGUUUUUACCCCAGCUGUAAAAACCACCCACAACCACCGUUUCUCUCCGUCGAGACCUAUCCCGAAGCAAUGGGGAACGAGGCCAGCAUGGAGGGGGAGGGACAGGCGGGACAGCCCGGCGCCGCCGUCCCUGCAGCGGGGGCUCCGACUUCCAUUUCAGCACCACCGGACUCUGGACAGCUCAUCAAGCCCAGCAAUGGAGCGCCAGCCGGAGGAAGUGGGACCGCGUCCGGGCCGGGGAUUAACAGACCACCUCUAUCAGACCCCGGGCCUAAAGCAGGAGCGCAGAGCACCCAUGGGCCCGGCGACAGGUUGGCCUCCCAUGAUGCCAGUCAGCAUGCUGCGCCUCCAGGAGGCCAGGGUCAGGGACAUGCAUCCAGGAAGAAUCUGCAGGUUGACUUGGGGGGCGGCAGAACCGGAAGGUCCCCUUCUGUGUCCCCGGACCGUGGGAGCGUCCCCACCUCUCCUUAUUCUGUGCCUCAAAUUGCUCCGAUGCCCAGCAGCAAGCUGUGUCCUGUCUGCAAAACCACCGACCUGAUGGGCACUGGGGACGACAAGCCCAACUUCAACACCUGCACACAGUGCCGCUCCAUGGUGUGCAACCAGUGUGGCUUCAACCCAAACCCUCACCUCACAGAGGUACAAGAAUGGCUAUGUUUGAACUGUCAGAUGCAGAGAGCGCUGGGGAUGGAUAUGACCACACCACGUUCCAAGAGUCAGCAGCAGAUUCACUCUCCUUCUCAUCCAACCCAACCUGAGCCCAAACCUGAAGCUACCAAUCAGCCCGCGCCUCAACCUCAGCCUCAACCUCAACCUCAACCUCAACCUCAACCUCAACCUCAACCCACUCCUCAGAAACAGCCUCCGGCUCAGCCACAUCCAGCGCCUGGCCCUACCAAACAGCCUGUUGCAGGUGGUCCUGGUCAUCAACAACCCAAACUGCCUCCAGGGGCGGUCCCUCUCCCUGGAAUGGCCAAGGCCCCAUCCCAGCCAGAUCUGUCUCGAGGCUCGCCUGCCCACCAUCCCCAGCAACCCCGCCAGGAUCAGACUCGCAGUGCUGGAAGCUCCCCAUCACGACAGCCCCCUCCCCCAGAGCAGACAUUUGGGAAGCUGUUUGGCUUUGGCGCUUCCCUUCUAAACCAGGCCAGCACUCUCAUAUCUGAGACCACUCAACCCCAGCAACAACAGCAGCCCCCAAAACCGGCUCCCAAACCUGGGGGGCCUCCUGGUCCAGGACCCGGAGCAGGUAAAUCUCCGGGACCUCCUGCACAACAAGGGCCACAACCCCCACUUCAGCAGCAACAACGACAUGCUCCCCCUGAGUCUACUAAACCCAGAGCCUCCUGUCCCCUCUGCAAGACUAACCUUAAUAUCGGCAACGCCACUGAGGAACCCAACUACAACACCUGCACACAGUGCCACUCCCAGGUGUGCAACAUGUGUGGAUUCAAUCCCACUCCACACCUAGUUGAGAAGAAAGAAUGGCUCUGCUUAAACUGCCAAACACAGAGGGCUCUGUCAGGAAGUUUGGGAGAUAUUCCACCUCCUGUAGCCCCUUCCAUGGGAUCUCCUCGGGCACCUGCUCCAUUCAAACAGCAAACACCUCAGCAGAAAGCACCCAGUCAAGGCUCAGGGCCUAGGAUUACAGGUCCUCCACAACAGAAAUCUGCGGGUCCUCAAGUAAGUGGCCCUCCCUCUAAUGUGAAACAGGCUAUGCCUGCUCCUCAAUCGAAAGGGCUCAGCCAAACCUCCCCUCAAACAAAGAGUUCUGCUCAGCCACCCUUCCAAGCUAAGGGUCAAACACAGCCUUCUUCUCAAAGUAAAGGACCUGCUCAAAUUAAAGGUCCUGCCCAGUCACAUGCUCAAAAUAAGGCCCCUGCACAGCCUGCUAACCAAGUGAAGGGCCCAAGUCAGGCAAAAGGGCCGACUCAGACAAAAGGAUCUGUUCAGCCCUCUGCUCAGACUAAGGGUCCUUCUCAUCCUUCUGGUGCCAAGGCUUCAUCUAGCUCUAGUAAAGCUGCUCCUAACCAUAACAAGGUUUCCACACCUGCAAAACCAGUUCCUACUCAGUCUAAACCCACAGGUAACAACCAGACCCGCAAACAACAGACCCCACAAAGCCAGGAGAAGAUGAAAGUUGCAUCUAAAUCUCUAAAAGAAGAUGCCAAAGUCUUACCCAAGAAGGCUUUGUCAGAGACUGUGACUUCCCCACACGAGAUCAAGAUAACUGAGGAAGAAAAGAAGUCAAGACACCAUGAAGACUCCAAUAAAUCAAGUACGCAGAGCUUAAGUGACACUGGAUACUCUUCAGAUGGGAUCUCCAGUUCACAAGGGGAGAUUACAGGUCAGAUCCGGGAAGAGGGAAUCAAGCUUAAUGAAAGAGGUGCUUCCAUCCCUUCAGACAUCAACAAAUUAGAGAGCUCUAUGAAACCUCUGCUCGAAUCAAAGACUGCCUCAGACCCAAAGCAUAGACCGCAUUCACUUUCUGUUGGGCAAGAACGAGACUACAAUCCUGAUGAAGAAGCAGGAAGGGAUGAAUCAGAAGAUGAACUCAGUUGUAAACUUCGCCAUGAUUAUGUGGAAGACAGCAGUGAAAGUGGUCUCUCGCCAUUGCCAAUAAGACAAAAGAAGUCCCAUAAAGACUUAACAGAUGAAGAAUACAUGAGGAGGCAGAUUAUGGAGAUGAGUGCUGAUGAAGAAGAAUUAGAAGAAUAUGGAAACCAGAAAACCAAGAAGACUCAUAAAACCAGUGGAGAGUCAGGCAAAGAGAGAAGGCGACUCUCUCAUCAGUCAAAUAGUUUUGAAGAAGACAAAAAAGUAUCUGAGGGUGCUUACAAGGCAAAUGAAGAGGAAGAUGUUGUUAUGGCUGGAGGACUUCGGCGUUUUAAAACGAUUGAGUUGAAUAAUACCAACAGCUACAACCGAGACAUUGAGCUCAGUAAUGAACAUGACCUUCGAGAGCCAGAACUCGAAAUGGAAAGUCUGACUGGUUCACCAGAGGAGCGAUCUAAGGGCGAUUAUUCAUCCACCCUACCGGCCACCACUCCCAGCUACACUUCUGGAACAUCACCCACAUCAGUAUCAUCUAUGGAGGAUGACAGUGACAGCAGUCCUAGUAGAAGAGCACGACUUGAAGAGGCAAAGCAGCAAAGGAAAGCUCGACAUCGGUCUCAUGGGCCUCUCCUCCCUACAAUUGAAGACUCCUCUGAGGAGGAUGAGCUCAGAGAAGAAGAAGAACUACUAAGAGAACAGGAGCAGAUGAGAGAUCUGGAGCAACAGAGGAUUCGAAGUACUGCUCGGAAAACAAAAAGAGAUAAAGAAGAACUUCGGGCACAAAGGCGCAGAGAACGAUCCAAAACUCCCCCUAGUAAUCUUUCCCCUAUUGAGGAUGCAUCACCAACAGAGGAGCUAAGACAGGCUGCAGAGAUGGAGGAGCUUCAUAGAUCAUCAUGUUCUGAAUACUCACCUUCUAUGGACUCAGAAGCAGAAGGUUUUGAGAUGAUAGGUGGAAAGCUUUACAAAUCAGGAAAUGAAUUUAAUCUUCCAACCUACACAUCACUCUAUUCACCAACAGAGAAGACAUCAGCAAUGUUGCCAUCUGAUAAAACCUUAAAAAGUGCAGAAGAGGUAUAUGAAGAGAUGAUGAGGAAAGCACAACUCAUGCAGAAGCAGGGCCAAAAAGGUGCCUCUCAGCCAGACAGUGGCCAUCAUCUUGAUGCUGGAACCUCCCUAACCCCUGGCUCUAGCCCAACUCAAGUAACUGCACCCAUGUCCUUCUCCACAUCAGGCAGCAUGCAUGCUGCACAGCAUUUAUCAAAAGAAACACAAAACAGAAUGAUGACACAGAGUGCCAAAAUUGAAGGAGUUGUUGGAGUUGCCACUACCAAAGCUCAACUUAGUCAGGCAGCCUCAGCUCGGCAGGCAGGAAAUGCAGUGCCUGUUGGCAACAGAGCAGUGUCCCAGAGGUCAACACAAGCAACACCUGACCCUGGAUCAUCAUCUUUGACCUCCAAAGUCUUUUCAAUGUUCAAAGGACCUAGUCCUCCAGUCUCACCCACUACUUCUCCAACAAAAAGUCCAGCACAUUCACCAUCUGUUCGACCCACUAGUGGUAGUGGCAGGCAGCUACCAUCUUUGCCUUCUGAAGUAACAACAUCUCCAGUAUCCCAUACUGGAGCACCUCAAAGGACAAUGUCACCUCGUCUUGUACGACAGCAGUCAUCCCAAGAUUCACCUGUGAUGGUCAUAACACUAGGCUCUGAAAAGUCAAGCCCUGCCAAGCCAAUUACUGUAAACUCAUCCACUUCCCCCUUAUCAUCACCAACACAGGGCAGUUGUAAAACCUUAUAUAGCUCACAGCCCCCUUCAACAAGUUCGCCAACAUCACCUCAAAUGCAUUCCUCUCAGCAGCUUAAACAUUCUUCACAAAUGGGGCACAAUAUUGAAAAAGUAAAUGUUGGUAUCAAUGCAGGGGCCACAAGUACGCAAACUCGUGCUUCAAAGGUUGUGGGACAAAGUCAAGUACAGCAAAGCACAAAUGUUGUAGAUCUGAGAGCUCCAAUGAGACCAGCUCCAAUUAUUAUGACAGAUCAAGGAAUGGAUCUAACAUCACUUGCUUCUGACACAAGAAGAUAUUCAUUAGGAGCAGAGCAGUCAUCGAGUAGACACACAGCAGUGCAGCCUCUUAUUAUGAACCUCAAUGCACAAGAGCAACCACAUAUUUCUGUUUCAACUCCAACAACAGUAAGUGUCACAGUUGCUGUGUCAACCUUCAUGUCUCAACCCAAACAACCUGUCAUAUAUGGAGACCCAUUGCAGAACCGUGUGGAUCUGGGUCAGGGAGUUGGAUCAGCUGUUUGUUUAACCCAAAGCAAAGCCCCAAUUACUGAUCCAACUAUACCCAAAAUUGAUGCCUGUCUGGAAAAUCUUGGCAUACAACAACAGCAACUGCAGUUACAACAGCAGAAGCUCCUGCAGCAGCAACAGCUCCUAGAACAGCAGCUUCAGCAGCAUCAGCAGCAGUCUUCUUUUGCUCGCUAUAAUUUAGCCAAUCAGGUACAACCACUGCUGAUAAAAAAAGACCUUGUAGUAAGUCAGACAAGCACUGGUCAGCAGCACCUGACCAAUGCUGCGGUGACUGCUAAUGCCAUUCCUAGAGUGUCUCCUCUCGCUCCACCAUCAGCAUCUGUGGCCCUUACUUCUAAUGUACCCCGUGAAAUGUAUGGCGGAGUUGCCUUAGAGCUAAAAAACAAGCCAACUGUUAUAAACUUGUCAACAGGAAAACCCCAUGUUAUGAUGGUACAACUUGAUGAGAAUAACACAUCCAAAAGUGGCACAGUUACUCAGCUGGUAAAACGAGAAGAGCAUCCCCCUGCACCACCACCUCCUCCUCAGGUUUUGGAUCUAACUGGACAGCUUAAACAAGAAAACCAAGUGGCUUGUUGUGAUGUUGUUUACAAAUUGCCCUUUGCUGGUACCUGUUCAGGGACAUUCUCUCAGAAGCCGGCUACAGUGUCCUCAGAUAAAAGUCCCACCACCGAAAUGUCUCAAGCAGCCCACCCUCCUCAGCCACCCCAAUUCCAGCAACAACAGCCACAACUCCAGCCUCAAAUUACACAAGGACUACCUGAUGAACACAAACUAUAUCCACCAGCUAUAGCUUCUGCAGGGAGAUUACAGCCUUCUAUGUCUGACACUAAUCUGCCUUCGAUGAGUGAUGCUGGGUCCUAUCAGAAUCCUCUCCAGGGAGGACUGGCUGUAGAUCUCAGCAGUAUGAAUCAAGGUUAUGAUGGUGGAUACCUUGGCAUGGGAGCACAGUAUGGAUCUUACACAGAUUUGCGACAUCAGGGAGAUUUUACAGGCCCUUCAUUACCCCUUCGUCGGUAUGGCUCCAUGUCAAAUAUCAACUCUGAUUACACCAGUGCUUCACGUGAUCUUACGGGCUCACAAGAUUCCAAUUUGGCUCAGUACAGUGCAACUACUGCUAGGGAGAUAAGUCGCAUGUGUGCAGCCCUUAACACUGUCGACCAGUUAGGAAGCCGUUUUGGAAAUAACCCUGAAUUGGCAGCAUAUGGUGCUGGAAGAGGUGGGCCUUUAGCCAGAUUAAAUCUUCAACAAAGCCUAGCAUCAAUAAGGGCAAAUUUGCUUUAUGGUCCAGACAGUAGACAAGCUGUGAAUGGCCAAGCCUUAACAAAUUUAAUCAAUGCGAGGCAAGCAAGUAUACGAGCCUUAUACCCUACUGCUAUGAGAGGUGGUGAUGGCAUGAUAUAUUCCACCAUAAACACUCCCAUAGCUUCCACCUUACCAAUUACUACACAGCCUGCCCCAGUAAUUCGUCCCAUGCCCCGAGGAAUUUACAGACCCUACCCUACAGGUGUAACUGCUGUACCUUUGGCUAGUCUUACCAGAUUGCCUCAAAUGACUCCCAGAAUGCCUCUUUCCACACAAGGAGCAUAUUCCUAUCCUUCUCCAAACCAGUAUCCUUUGUCUGUCACACCAACAGGAAGUAGUGUUGUAAUAAGCAGCUCUCACCAAGAAAUUCCAGUAUACCUCGGGAAGCUGUCAACAACAAUAUCUGGACCAACAGCUUCCACCAUUCCCCCGACACCACCUGCAGCGCACUCAGGAACACAAAACGUACCUGGAGCUGGUAUACAAAUCACCUCAGAACAACAAAUAGACAGAUCUCAAUUUACUUCACAAAGUAUUGCAUCUUUCUCUAAAGUUCAAGGCCAAUCUUCAUCUGCCCAACAAGUGCAGGCUCAAGUCCAGGCUCAAAUGCAGCCGCAACAAUUACCUGCACAGACAGAACCCUUAUCUUUGACUCAAACCCAACCUCAAACACAACCCGCCAGUCAGCCUCAACCAGUAGUUCUCUCUCAGGGACAGACACAAGCUGAAAUUACCCAGGCAUCAAGUUCUAAACUGUCCCCUCCCAUUGAUGCACAAAAGAACAAGGAAGAUGAGAAACUCAAUCAGCAACAAGAACAACUGCUGCAGCUAGAGAGAGAACGGGUUGAAUUAGAAAAGCUGAGGCAGUUGCGCCUGCAAGAGGAGCUAGAGAGAGAUCGUAUGGAGCUUCAGCGUCACAGAGAAAAAGAACAACUUCUUGUACAACGUGAGAUCCACGAACUGCAGACAAUAAAACAGCAAGUCCUACAACAACAGCAAGCCGAGAGAGAGACACAACUUAUAAUGCAAAGAGAGCAGUUGGCCCAGCAAAGAAUGCAGCUUGAGCAAAUUCAGACCCUGCAGCAGCAGCUUCAGCAGCAAUUGGAGGAGCAGAAAAGGCAAAAGACAGCAGCAGUUGAAGCAGCAGCAGCAGCUGCAGCUGCUGAGGCGGCUGCUGCAUCAGCUGCAGCAGUGGCUGCAGCAACAUCAGCCCAGAGUGCCAUCCAAGGAGUAGUUGUUGGAGCAGGGGCCCCUCAAGGAUUUAUAAUCUGUGAUCAGACUGGUAGAGUCCUUCAGCAAGAUGGGCAGAGUGUGCAAUUUUGGCAGGAUGGACAAGUUGUUCAAGCAGUAGUGGCUGCUCGACCCAUUCAUAGCUCCACCUCUGAAAUGUCUUUGAGAAGCAGUGACAAACAGGGUGAUUCUAAGAUGAUGAAAAAGCAGAAUUCCAUGCCUCGGUUGAGGGAUGGUUCAGAGGAGGACUCUGUCAAAAGAAUUACAGACAGCUGUGUGCAAACAGAUGAUGAGGAUGGUGAAGAAAGGUACAUGAAUAGGCGUAGGAGAACAAGACGAAUUGCAGACUGCAGUGUACAGACUGAUGAGGAAGACCAGGGAGAAUGGGACCAACAGCCAGUAAGGCGCAGACGAUCUCGUGUGUCCAAGCACUCUGAAUCUAGUGGUGAGGCUAAAUCUGAUGGUUCUUCCAAGGUAAUUUCAGCAAGCAUAGCUAUUCAGACCACUAAUGACUCAUCAUGUCAAACAGAGUCAGACCUACUUGGCAGAGUUUCACCUGCAAUCCACAUUACUAUGGCCGAGACCUCAAAAGUUGACCUAUUGCAUUACAUAGCAGCUCCAGAAAGAACUCACAAAGGUGAGAGUUUAGCAUGCCAGACAGAACCAGAAUCACAUUCUCAGGGAAUAGUCGCCCCUCAGCUGAGUGUCCCUACAACUAUUAGCCCAUACUCUACAAGUCUCCAUAUAGUAGGUGGAAAUACAUCUGACACAGCCUCUCCCAGACUCCAAGGAGUAGCUAAGUUUGAAAGGAGAAAACCAGAUCCUCUGGAAAUAGGCUAUCAUCAUCAACAAAAUGAGUCUUCAUCUCGCCAACCCCCAAAAUCUCCCCAAGUACUGUACUCCCCAGUUUCUCCAUUGUCUCCUCAUCGGAUGUUGGAGACAACCUUUGCCUCUCAGGAGAAGCUUAACAAGGCCCAUGUUACACCCCAGCAGAAAUCCUUCACUGCUGAAUCUCCACAACGCCAUCAGACGCUGCCAAGGCCCAUUAAAAGUGUGCAACGCUCUAUGUCGGAUCCUAAACCUCUCAGCCCAACAUCAGAGGAUCCUACAAAGAAUCGAUUUUCUCCCUAUCAUCAAGUGCUGUCCAAUAGCCAGAUGGCCUCCCUGCAGCAGCAGCAGAACUCUCUGAUGAGGAAAGUAAAGAGGACUCUUCCCAGCCCCCCUCCAGAGGAAGCUCCGCUCCCCAUUGUUACUCCAGCACAAAUGUACAGCUCCCCUGGCAUGCCUCAGAGGGUGCUCCCAAGACCAGCCCAAGGAGUCACCAAGGCAGGUCUGUUAAGCGAAUUAAAAGCAGUGGAGCAAGAGUCAUCAAAGCUACGCAAACAGCAGGCUGAGCUGGAGGAAGAAGAAAAAGAGAUUGAUGCCAAGCUGCGGUAUUUGGAAUUGGGCAUCACUCAGCGUAAGGAGACCAUGGUGAAGGAGAGGGAGAGGAGAGAGUUAGCCUAUCUGCGAUGUAUGGGUGAUCCUCGAGACUACAUGUCAGACAGUGAGCUCAAUAACCUAAGAAUGGGUGCGGGAACUGGAACAUAUGAUGCUAAUGGUUUACUGACAAGACCUAGUACUGCUCCACUGAGUCAGUUUACUAAUGACCUCAAUGCAACAUCCCAGUAUCCCUCAACCUCAUCUUAUAUGCCCUAUCCAUACCCUCAAACUCAACCAUCUACACAUCAGCCUGGUUCUACUUACCAGCCAAUAGGUUUCCAAACUCCUCAAUACCCUUCAUCUUCUGCACCUCAGCCUGGAACAUUCCAGCCUCAUCCUCCAACAGUCCCUGGGUACCAGAACCAGGGAACUUAUUCCUCCCGCAUGUAUGGCCAGUCGUCCUAUCAAACUGACUUCACCAUGCAGCAGCAUGGUCACCAGGGCUUUCAUUCACCUGGUCAGCCUAUGCCAGGACAGAACCUUCCUUAUCCUAGUCACAGUUCCUACCAGCCUGGCCUCACCUACCAGCCACAAGCCGAAAUUCUUACUGUCCAUCAAAGACCGAGGCAAACUUCUUUGGCUGAACUUGAACAGAAACUCCCUACAAAUUAUGAAGUCAUUAGCAACCCAACAGUCUCAGUGGCCACUUCUGCUCCAGAUACCAACUUUGGACCAGCUUACAGUAAUGCAUAUGGACAAUACCGCCCCCCUGAGCCUGGGCUAACUCACUCUGUGGACAGUCCCACCUCUGCAUACACUUCAGAUGGUCUUUACACAUCCAACCUGGAGCAGAAUAUUCCAAGAAAUUAUGUGAUGAUUGAUGACAUCAGUGAGUUGACAAAAGACAACACUGGACAGCCCACUGAUGCUCUUGGUCAUCCUGUGGGAGGGCGGUAUCGCAGUGAGAAUGGCUCUGUGCGAGUAACUGGAUAUGAGGAGCCUGUUGAUGCUUAUGGAAGACCUACAGGAUCAGCUGGUUACCAAAGCACAGUUGACAGUCGAACCAGCACCACAGUGAGCGGAGGCUCAUCUUACUACUAUGAUGAUUAUAAGCAUUCUUCUCGCUCUGGUGGCCACAAAAUUUCCUCCAAAAAUCUUGCUCCUGCUGUAGUCUCCUCUAAACGAAGUAAGCAUAGAAAACAGGGAAUGGAGCAGAAGAUUUCUAAAUUCUCACCUAUUGAGGAAGCUAGGGAUGUGGAGUCAGACCUUGCUUCUUACACAAUGACAACAUCAACUGCAGGCACCUGUCCAGUAGGGUCAAGAUCUAAGAAGCUUCAAGAUGAUGUCACCUACGGCAUGAAGAAAAAUGCAUAUGAUCAACAGAAAUAUUAUGGCACGAGUCAUGAGGGUCUUGAAGAGGAUGACCGCAUGUACAGCUCCGGAAGGUCCAGAUCUACAGGAUAUGGUAUGGAUAAGAUUUCCUCCAGAGACACUACAGGCCACCGCAGCAAAUCCUACGAGAGAGAUGCUAUGGAGCGAUCUCACCGAAGUAGCCGCAGUGGACGUCCUCCAAUGCGAACUCAGAAUUCAGAAGAGGAGAGCCCACUUAGUCCUGUAGGGAAGCCUGUAGGUAUGGGAAGAAGUUCUGCCAUGUCAGAGGCCCACGAUGUGAGAAACCAGUAUGGUUCCAGUCAUUCGCUGCCAGAUGUGCAAGAUCACCACAAGAAGGACCUUCCCAGAAGUCACGUCUAUAAACCAGAUGAUCCUUAUCUCGUAGACGACAUGCAUUGUGCUGUUUCUGAUAGCGAAGCCUAUCAUUUGGGUCAAGAGGAGACUGAUUGGUUUGAGAAACCACGGGAGGCCCGCUCUGAUCGCUCAAGACAUCAUGGGAGUGGAGGUCACUCUUCUACAGGAAGACGUAAUAAACAUACUUACCAUGACUAUGAUGAGCCUCCGGAGGAAUACAGUCAACAGGAUGAGUACAACCAGCGUCACCCUUCCUCUUCGUCACGGGACCACCGCCAUCAUGGCACCAGCUCUGGCAGACACAGUUCCUCUCGUCACUCCUCAGAGGACCCCAAGUCUUCACGCUCUUCCAGGACACACCCCAAAGACCCAUCUGGUCGCACUGAUAGCAGGACCUCCUCAUCCACACAAAGAAGGAGCGGUACAGACUCUCGGUCUGCCCACGAUAGCCCUCGCAACUCAGGAGACUUCUCUCGUGAGCCAGUCUCUGGUCAUCACCAUGGCACUGGGGGACGGAGUCAGAGAUCUCAAGGUGACCGCACAAUGGGCAGGAGACAAGACCCUUCUAAGCCACAGAACCAGCAGCCACCCCAGGGCCACCCAGGGCAGCAGCGAUCAGGGGGUCAGGGGCAGACUGGAAGACAUUCAGGUUCUGAACAACUUGAUGGUAGCCAACAGGCUCAGCAGCAGCAGCAGCAGCAUCAACAACAAAGUGUGCAACAACAGAGUGUGCAACAACAGCAGCAGCCGCCACAGCACAGUCAAACUCCACAGAGUAGCCAUCCAGUAACAAACACUGGAAGUGGACCAGAACAGCAGCACCAGCAGCAGCAGCAGCAAGCCAAACCUGGACAAAUUGCAUCACAGGGACGCCAACCAGGAGUGGGGUCUGCAACAGGGCAGCCAGCAACAGUGGGAAAAAUGGAUGCUCCCCCUACUGCUGCUAGUCCGGGAAUGAAACCUGCAGCAGGAAUCGCAGCACCACCUCAGCCUACCAAAAUAGCCACACCACCGCUAACUGGCAUCGGCUCCAAGGCAGCUCCUGUUGGAAUCGGUAGCAAGCCUGUAGGCAUAGGAAGCGCUGCAGCUGGUCAGCCCCCAGGUCCUGAAGGGGAAAAUGUUUUAACCAAAAUCCUGCAGGGAGGAGCAGCCGAGCAGGCAGGAAAACUGGGAGAUGCUCUGUCUGGCCUUGGGAAAAAGUUCACCUCAUUCUGGUGAAAUACUAGGAGUUGAAGAACACAAAUACAAUGAGAUGGACUGGUUUCUUUGUGCUGGAAAACCUACGACACCAUCUUAAAUAUAUAUUUAAAUCCACCAUGAAAAAGAAGAAUGAUUCUUAAUGCAUCAGUCAAGCUGGAAUCAAAGGAUGCCUUGUCAGCACUGAAUUCCCCAGACACGGGCUCCCGAUUGAAGUGAAUUAAAUAAGGGGGAUCGCUUUGUCAGCAGGCUGUUGCAAGACAUGAGAGGAGGACUGAAGAGGCCUGAAAGUGAGUAAUAAGGAAGUGGUGAAGUUCUGGGAGAAAGCAGCGCUUCUUUCUUCAUUUCUUUCAUCCUGCAGAGGAAUGCUCCAGCAUGGACUCUGUGAGAAAGCAGUACAAUCUUCACUAACAGAAGCAAGGGUAGGGGUAUAUUGGACAAACUGUCCAUGCAUGUCGCCUCUGAUUCAGCUCAGCAAAAAGGAGCCUCACAGCGCCCUCUGCAGAGUUUUAAUGGUAACACCACUCGCCUCUGAGGAAUGUAGGUUGCACAAGGACUCCAGAUUCUAAAUUGAUGCUUUGGGAGCAUUCUAAAAAAUAAAAAAUGAUUGUAUUGCGUAGGUUUUCCUCGUCUCAAAGGAACCAGUCUUACCCGACAAUGACAACAUGUACCUGGAAACGACAAAGCUUUUGACAGCAACAACAAACCAACUUGGAGAUUCCUUCAAAACCCUGGAACCCUGGCUUCUCCACAGUACAUUCCAGUAUAGAGAGCUUGACCCGUUCUCUGAAUGUGUUUUUAAUUUAUCGUCUCUUCGUUACUGUGUCUACAGAAUGCAUUGUGUAAAUGUGGACACAAGAAUGCACGCACAAAUGGAAAAAAAAAAGAAAAAAAAAUCUGGAAAAAAUAAGCCCAUAUCAGUUCUUUUUUUCACCACUUAUAUAAGAUGCCGCUACUCAUUAGGUGUUGGUUUUUUAAAGGAAGGGACUUACUACCAGCGUGCCCAUACGUGUGAGAAUCACACAGAUGAGAGGACCAAAUGAAAGAGUGGCCACGGCUCUUUAUCAGCCAUUGCUAAGCCAUUGUUAUGGACAUCCUUUUUUAUUGAUUUGUCUCAUCUUUUAUUAUUUGUUUUGUUUUCUUGUUCUUUUGCCUGAUAAUGAAUGGAAGAGCCUUAUUCACUUAUGUUUUUACUUGUAUACCUCAUGUUUUAAGAUGUCCAUAUCAUUAUGAAUUUCUUUUUACACUGUAUACUAUUGUAUGUAUAUAAAACAAAUCAGAGAUCUAUGAUGUAAAUUGUCAUUUGUGUAUUUAAUGAGUCACUCUCCAGUGAAUUUCUUUUUUUUGUUGUUGCUAUGUGUUUUCUUUUUUUGUAAAAGUUUAUAUUUUCACUUUGUAUUUGUUUGAUUCUGUUAUUGCAUCAAAUAAUUUGCUUCUUGGUUUUUAAAAGCAAUAGCAUGCAGCAAAUGGUAUAUAGCACAAUGGUAUAAAUGUUUUUUUUUGUUUUUUUUUCUCAAUCAGUGAUGGGGGAAUAUCAAACAAAAAUCAGUAAUAAAAAUCUGUCAGAGGGUUUACAGCCACAGCACCACAUGUACAGACAUGCAUGAUAAUGUUUGGAUGCGUAAGAGCAUGCAGAAAGGCCGACACACUCUCUAUAUAUAUGUCUAUUACAAGCUCAUACACACACCCAACACUUUGCAAUCCCAGUUCCACUUCAGAGCCAAGGCUAAUUGAGUUUUCACCAAAUAGACUUGUUAACCUCUUGAUGAUUAAUGAGGUUACCAAUCUACUAACAAGCUGGGCCCACUGCCUCUGUUUCUGCAAGACACACACCGAACAACACAGACACAGGAGAGGACAAAAAGCAAUUAUCAAAGUCAAACGUUCUAUGCAAUGACUCAUUUUGAAACGUGGAAGUGACUCACUCUGAAGCAGUUUAGCACCGUCGCUGUACUCACAACAAAAUAUUAGAAUCAUGAACAAAAAAAGGUAUAAAAAAAAUAAAUAAGUGAAAUGAAAAUGUUUUUACCUGGAAUCUUGUCUGUAUGAAUUUGAAUACUGAGUAUUGAUCUAGACUUGUUUUUAUUUUCGUGGCAUGUUCUUAACCCUCCUCACUCUCCCUAAAAAAUGGGGAAUGGUGGGGACUUGUUGCCAAAGGGUAAACUUGUGUAGACUGUCAGUUUUAUGAAUGUCCACCAUCAUGUUGCUUUUGAAGCAUGGGGUUUUGCUUGGCUUCAUCUGGUUGUUGUUUAUGGUUUUUUUUUUUGUUUUUUGUUUUUGUAAUCCCUCAUUCAGUCGUCGUGCAUUUUGGCUGACCUGUUUGGCUUGCAGUGACUGUCUGUGCUGCUAUGAACCUGUACUGCAGAUGGUCGAGCACUUCUCAUCAAUUCGUGUCAGUGUACAUAUUGGGUGUCAGUAUAACCUGUGGGGUGAAUGGAAUGUUUAUAUUGGAUAUACGUCAUUGUUGACUCAACCCACACAGCAGCCAAGCCAUUUGAAAAGUGCAUGAUUAGAUUAUUCUUGAACGUCAUAGUCGAAAUAAUUAAAAAAAGAGAAGUCAAGCAUGAUUUUAAGAAGGUUUGCCUCACAAACCUUGAUUCUAACUGGCCAAUGAUGAUAAUAUCAGUGAGUUGAAAUGUUCAGCCAGUCAUUCACAAAUCAGGGCAUGUCAUUUGGAAAGCACAAGCCUGACUGGUGGAGCUCGGCAGAGUGCAGAAACAGAGGUUGCGUAACAGCGCCUCUGUUAAGAUGUGCGGCAGAACAAAGCGGAGGUGCAGUGUGGUCGAUACGCGAUGAAAACAGCCUUCAGUGCAGCCACGCGGAUAAGCAGGGAGGCAGACGGACACAUUCUCACAUUCCUUACUGUAAAUACAACCUCAUUCCUCUGUACAGCUUUUCAGUUUGGAGUACGGCUGUCAUGUGCAUCCCCAUGCCGUAUUUGCUGCCAACUUUUAUGUAUAAAAAAUAUUUAUUAUGACCACGAUAAUGAUGAUGAAACUAAUAAUAAUGAUGAUGAUUAUUAUUAUUAUUAUUGCAUAAGCCUAGUGUAUGUGACUGACUUGUACUGAGUCUUUACAACAGUGGAACAAAACUCGUUAACAUAUCCACCCAUCCAGUGUGUGUAGAGUUUCUCUACGUAUCAUAUCAAGAAGCCUUUGUCAGGCUAACAGAAGGUUAUCAGUUUUGAUGGAUAUGAUCUCCGAGGUGAGACGAGGGGGGAAAAAAAAGAAAUCUGGAAAAUGUCAUUCACUGUUGUAAGUGCAAUGGGCAAAAUGUCAGUCGUGUAUCCAUUGUGAAACCCUUGUGUUCUAUUCAGUGUAUUCCUGUAAACAGAUAGAGUACAUUUUGGUGCAUCAUGUCAAGUAAUGUGAAAAUAUUGACCCUGCAAUUUCCAAACGGAGAAACAAAUAAAAAGAAAAAAGUU